AACGUUGUCGCAGUAGAUAACUGG
rnacentral:siRNA from 1 species